ACUCCUUCUCCCCUUUCACAAUCGUCGUUUCUUUUUAGAUUCCACUCUCUGAAACCCUUAAUUUCUUUGCGUCUUCGAUGGCCCUCUCAAGAUUGGUAUAGAUUUCCUCUGGAACCGUUUUUUGAGGUUUCCAGUCUUCUUUCUCUCUCUAUUUAUUUUUUGAAUGUUUAGGUUGACUUCGGAAGACUCCUAGUGCCUUGUGCCCGCACCUAUGCUGCGUUGUUGCAUCUGCCAUUAUUUUAUCGAAGCUUAGAUCGUUGCGGAAGCUUGGUAUGGUUGAAUGAAAAAGUUAGGUUUCUUUUCUAUUUCAUUUGGAUUUCUUUUACAACUUUCGUCUAGUUCUUCUAUUCAAAUUAUUUUGCUUUAGGGAUUGUAUUGUUCCCGGGUUUCGAUUCGGUUCAUUUUUCUUUCUCCAUCUACAUCCAUUGAUAUGAUUCAAUGGUUAUUUUCCAUCUACUGCCAGUUGAGUCUGAUUGGACAGUCUCUGGUAUUUGUAAUCUAAUUACCAAGUUAUUUUCUAGGGCAAAUGUUUAGUUUCUGUAUUGUAGUCUGGGUCAUGUUUUUGGGCUUCUCUUGAUGGCAGGGUUGUCUCGUAAGCAUUUUGUUUGCCCUAUUUGGAGUGAACUCUGCAAAAACCCUAUGCAAGCAAUACUGAUUAUUAGAUAUUCAACAGAAAAAUCAUUAGUUAUCAGUAGUUAACUGGUUUUCAUCUCACCGUUUAAAAAUCAUAAAAGGUUUAUGUUGGGGUCCUGAGUGUAGAGAAUCUUAGUCAUGAAAAUGCAGGAUUGUGUAGUAAAAAUAGUUGUAAACAUAAUUGGUAAGAAAAGAGUUAGAGUAGCACGUGCAGGUAAGUCUUGAGGUUGGAUAUUGGUAUCCGGAAUUGGAGAUAUUAAAACACUGAACAUAAGAUAUAUUUAAUUAAAAUCUAAACAAAAGUAGUUUUAGUUCAACUAUUUUUUUAUUUGAUUUUGAGUCAUUUUUUAGAUGAGUUUUAAAUGUAGGUUUUAUGUGAGAUGAUAGUGAAGCGUUGUUGAAUCACUACAAAACUUUUUUGCUUGAAUUCUUCUUGUAUAGGAAGAUUUGUUUGUCCUGCACCUCGUGCUCUUGUUCUUGGAAUGAUCCAAUUGAUUAAGUAUAGGUAAGUUUUAAGUGUUUUGAAUAUAUAGUUUGAGCGCUUCACUAAUUCUUUAAUGUAAAGAUAACUAACACUUUAUUAAGUUUGCAAUGCUAUUUAGUAAAAUUGUUAAGGGUGGUAUUUCUUAUUUAAAAAUUGCUAAAGCUUCCUAACACUUUAUCACAUUGUUUAUCAUACUACUAUUCCGACAUAUGUAUUCUGAAUUUCAAAUUUUUGUUGUCCUUGUACUAUAACAUUAUUUGUCAAUGAUUUUAUUUGUCCUCGAAAACGAGUAUCUAGCAAUUUUAAGUUCUUUUAUCCUCUUAAUUCCUGUAUAUUCUUUAAGAACCAGGAUAUGGUUUUGAUUACACAGGUUUUAUGGUGAAGACAUCAUAUAUAUCAUGAAGUAGUUUUCUUUUCUAGUACCUUUUUGUUGCCACAACUAUUAUUAGUGCAUCUAUAGUUUGCUUUUCUAGGUAGCUUUUUGUUGAGUGUGACCUUCCAAGGGAUUGAAUAACUUUUUCUCCGACUGCCAUUUACACUUUUCGAUUGUGAAAGAUUGUUAGAAUGUGGCAAGAGUUGCAGGUUAAGGUGGAUUAACUAUUUGAGAGUUGAUCUAAAGAGAGGGGACAUUUCUGUCGAGGAAGAAAAUACCAUUAUCAAGAUGCAUUCUUCGUUAGAUUAGUUCUGUAUCUAUAAUUUCAAGCUUCACAACUGAAUCUUUAAAAGAAGAGAUUGGUUCUUCGGUUGAUUCUAGCUCAAGAUGGAGUUGGAUUAAUGAACCUGUUGGCAUUUCAAAGGCUGAUUCAUUCUCAAAAUUUGGGCUAGUGGAGCAAGUAAAUACAAUUGGUGAUAGAAUGUUAUGGUUGCUAUCAAGGAUGAGAUAGACUAUUUGCCAUAUCCAACAACAACUAAUGUAACAUGUUAUUAUUUUCCAUAUGGAAUCUUCUAUUCAAA